AAUAUUGCGCAAUGGAGGAAACUCUGACGCAGCAACGCCGCGUGAAGGAUGAAGGCCUUCGGGUUGUAAACUUCUUUGAUCGGGGACGAAGAUGACGGUACCCGAGGAACAAGCCCCGGCUAACUACGUGCCAGCAGCCGCGGUAAUACGUAGGUGGCAAGCGUUGUCCGGAAUUACUGGGCGUAAAGGGCGUGUAGGCGGGUGAACAAGUCAGAUGUGAAAUCUCAGGGCUUAACCCUGAAACUGCAUUUGAAGCUGGAAGGCUUGAGGAUCGGAGAGGGCAGUGGGAUUCCCAGUGUAGCGGUGAAAUGCGUAGAUAUUGGGAGGAACACCAGUGGCGAAGGCGACUGCCUGGACGACACCUGACGCUGAGGCGCGAAAGCUAGGGGAGCAAACGGG
rnacentral:rRNA from 1 species